rnacentral:rRNA from 1 species
AUUAAGCUAGUAAGAGCAUGCGGUGGAUGCCUUGGCGUCAAGAGCCGAUGAAGGGCGCGGAUGGCUGCGAUAAGCCCCGGGGAGCUGUCAUCAAGCUUCGAUCCGGGGGUACCCGAAUGGGGGAACCCACCCGAGCAAUACUCGGGUACCACUGGCUGAAUCUAUAGGCCAGUUGGGGGGCACGGAGGGAACUGAAACAUCUAAGUACCUCCAGGAAGAGAGAUCAUUCCCUGAGUAGUGGCGAGCGAAAAGGGAACAGCCCAAACUCAUUUUGUGUAACAGGCGGCAGCCGUUGCAAGGUGAGGGUUGUAAGGCUCAAUCGGGUCUUCUGCCGCGGGCCCAGGGAGUUACAAAUCGUGUUGCUAGUCGAAUGGCGCUGGAAAGCCCAGGCACAGCGAGUGAUACCCUCGUAGACGAAAGCGGCCCGACUCCCGUUGAGUUCUUGAGUACCGCGGGGCACGCUAAUCCUGCGGGAAACCGGGAAGCCCACUUCCCAAGGCUAAAUACUCUUGACGACCGAUAGUGAACAAGUACCGUGAGGGAAAGGUGAAAAGAACCCCGGUGAGGGGAGUCAAAAGAACCUGAAACCGCAUGCUUACAAGCAGUCGAAGGACAAUGCCCUUCGGGGCAAGUCUGACGGCGUGCCUCUUGGAGAAUGAGCCGGCGAGUUACUCUCUGUGGCGAGGUUAAGCCAGUGACAGGCGGAGCCGUAGCGAAAGCGAGUCUGAAUAGGGCGUUCAGUCGCAGGGAGUAGACCCGAAACCGGGUGAUCUACCCAUGGCCAGGCUGAAGCGAGAGUAAUGUCUCGUGGAGGGCCGAACUUACUAAUAUUGCAAAAUUAGGAGAUGAGCUGUGGGUAGGGGUGAUAUGCCAAACGAACCCGGAGAUAGCUGGUUCUCCCCGAAAUAGCUCUAGGGCUAGCGUCAUGCGUUCAGUAACGGAGGUAGAGCACUGGAUUGGCUAGGGGGCGUAUAGCUUACCGAUCCAAACCAAACUCCGAAUGCCGUUACUCCAAGCGUGGCAGUCGGUCGGUGGGAGAUGAGUUUCAUCGACGAAAGGGAAACAGCCCAGAUCGCCAGCUAAGGUCCUUAAGUACAGGCUAAGUGGUGAAGGAUGUGGGGUUACUGGGACAGCCAGGAGGUUGGCUUAGAAGCAGCCAUCCUUUAAAGAGUGCGUAAUAGCUCACUGGUCUAGUGAUCCUGCGCCGAAAAUAUACCGGGGCUUAAGCCUGUCACCGAAGCUGCGAAAGAGGUGAGUACACAAGGAAAAAGUAGAUAAGGAAACAAGGUCACUUGUCUACCUGUCUACUGUCUACUUGUCUACCGCCUUUUGGUAGGGGAGCGUUCUGUGCGCGUUGAAGCCUGACCGCGAGGACAGGUGGAGCAAACAGAAGUGAGAAUGCCGGCAUGAGUAGCGAUAUGCACGUGAGAACCGUGUACCCCGUAUGUCCAAGGUUUCCGACGGAAGGUUAAUCCGCGUCGGGUUAGUCGGCCCUAAGCCGAGGCCAAAUGGCGUAGGCGAUGGACAACAGGUUAAUAUUCCUGUACCACCUGGAUCGAGCGAUGGGGGGACGCAGGAGGGUCAGUCAGCCUCCGAUUGGUUGUGGAGGUGCUAAGCCUGUAGGGAGAUGAGGGUCCCAGGUAAAGCCGGGACCUGAUCCUGAGAGGUGGGCGGCGCCCUUCGGGGCCACAAGUGACCCAGCCCAUACUGCCGAGAAAAGCCUCUAAGCGUUGAAGUCCGGGUGCCCGUACCGAGAACCGACACUGGUGGACGGGUAGAGUAUACCAAGGGGAUCGGGAGAACCUUCGUUAAGGAAUUAGGCAACAUGGCUCCGUAACUUCGGGAGAAGGAGCGCCGCAGUAGGAUGAGACGACUAGCUUGUCGAGUCCGAGGCGGCCGCAGAGAAGUGGCCCUACCGACUGUUUACCAAAAUCACAGGUCUCUGCAAACGCGCAAGCGGAUGUAUAGGGGCUGACGCCUGCCCAGUGCCGGAAGGUUAAAGGGAGAGGUUAGCGCAAGCGAAGCUUUGAACUGAAGCCCCGGUGAACGGCGGCCGUAACUAUAACGGUCCUAAGGUAGCGAAAUUCCUUGUCGGGUAAUGGAAGAAUUGCCCGUAACUGGCUGAUAACGGUGAAGCCCAACCUUGUUGCGGUGAUCAAGGGCACCGUGCUAAAGAGGGGGUAAUACCGUGGGAAGUCCUAUUAACCGCUAACGUACAGUGAAUGGUUAAUAGUGACCCUGUAACGACUGAAGGCGAAAUGCCUGAGAUAGCAAUCCUGGCCCGUAGGGGUCAAAUCUAUGAUUGCUAUCAAACGCCAGUAUCUCGUCGAGGGGUUACUCGAUGGAUGUGAGAUCAUACCUGUCUGGGUAUGUUGACGGAGAAGGAUGUUUUUGUGUGUCCUUCAACAGAAGCGAUAGACAUAGCUUGGGAUGGGAAAUCCGUCCCAGCUUCUCUGUCAGUCAAAAUCGUGACCGGGCUGAAGUGCUGGAGAUGUUGCAGCAGCAUUUUGGUUGCGGAACGAUCCGACCAGAUAGGUCUGAUCAAACGCUCAAGUACGAAGUGCGUAGUGUGAGCGAUCUGAUUGAACGCGUGGUUUCUCACUUUGAGAAGUAUCCGCUCUUGUCUGGUAAGCAACGGGACUUCGAGAAAUUUGCAGUCAUUUGUCGGUGGAUGUAUGAAGGACGACAUUUGAUUCGGGAUGGGUUCAAUCGAAUCGUUGAGCUGGCCUUGGCAAUGAAUUCAUCGGGUGAGCGCAAGUACACAAGAGACGAGAUAAAGCUAUAGUCUACGCUCCUGGAAACAGGAGAAGUACGUGAAGUUCCGACCCGCACGAAUGGCGUAACGAGUGGGGCACUGUCUCGACGAAGGACCCGGUGAAAUUGAAAUAGGCGUGAAGAUGCGUCUUACCCGCAGCAGGACAAAAAGACCCCGUGGAGCUUUACUGCAUCCUGGCAUUGUGUUAGGGCUGGGUCUGUGUAGGAUAGCUGGGAGACUGGGAAACUGGGGCGCUAGCCUCGGUGGAGUCGCCGUUGGAAUACCAGCCUGAUUCAGUUUUGACCCUAACCUACGGCCGUUAUCCGGCGUGGGGACAGUACCAGGUGGGCAGUUUGACUGGGGCGGUCGCCUCCUAAAAGGUAACGGAGGCGCCCAAAGGUUCCCUCAGGAUGAAUGGAAACCAUCCGCAGAGUGUAAAGGCACAAGGGAGCUUGAUUGCAAGACCUACAAGUCGAGCAGAGACGAAAGUCGGGCUUAGUGAUCCUACGGCUCCGAGUGGAAGGGCCGUGGCUUAACGGACAAAAGCUACCCCGGGGAUAACAGGCUGGUGGCGCCCAAGAGUUCACAUCGACGGCGCCGCUCGGCACCUCGAUGUCGGCUCGUCGCAUCCUGGGGGUGUAGUAACUCCCAAGGGUUGGGCUGUUCGCCCAUUAAAGCGGUACGCGAGCUGGGUUCAGACCGUCGUGAGACAGGUCGGUCUCUAUCCGCUGUGGGCGUAGGGGAUUUGAGGGGAGCUGCUCCUAGUACGAGAGGACCGGAGUGGACCGACCGCUGGUGUGCCAGUUGUCCCGCCAGGGGCACCGCUGGGUAGCUAAGUCGGGCAGGGAUAACCGCUGAAAGCAUCUAAGUGGGAAGCUCGCCCCAAGAUGAGAUCCCCCAUCCCGUCAAGGGAGUAAGUGCGCUGGAAGACUACCAGCUCGAUAGGCGGCAGGUGUACGCACAGCAAUGUGUUCAGCCAAGCCGUACUAAUGCACGAGGGCUUGAUUCA